CGAACGCUGGCGGCAGGCCUAAUACAUGCAAGUCGAACGGCCCUUCGGAGCAGUGGCGGACGGGUGAGUAACGCGUGGGAAUGUGCCCUCUGGUACGGAACAACACAGGGAAACUUGUGCUAAUACCGUAUGUGCCCUUCGGGAGAAAGAUUUAUCGCCAUUGGAGCAGCCCGCGUUGGAUUAGGUAGUUGGUGAGGUAAAGGCUCACCAAGCCUACGAUCCAUAGCUGGUCUGAGAGGAUGAUCAGCCACACUGGGACUGAGACACGGCCCAGACUCCUACGGGAGGCAGCAGUAGGGAAUCUUGCGCAAUGGGCGAAAGCCUGACGCAGCCAUGCCGCGUGAAUGAUGAAGGUCUUAGGAUUGUAAAAUUCUUUCACCGGGGAAGAUAAUGACGGUACCCGGAGAAGAAGCCCCGGCUAACUUCGUGCCAGCCGCCGCGGUAA
rnacentral:rRNA from 1 species